rnacentral:rRNA from 1 species
AACGAACGCUGGCGGCAGGCCUAAAACAUGCAAGUCGAACGCCCUAGCAAUAGGGAGUGGCGCACGGGUGAGUAACGCGUGGGAACGUGCCCUUCAGUACGGAACAACGUCGGGAAACUGACGCUAAUACCGUAUAAUAUCUCCGGAUCAAAGAUUUAUCGCUGAAGGAUCGGCCCGCGUCUGAUUAGCUAGUUGGUGAGGUAAUGGCUCACCAAGGCUACGAUCAGUAGCUGGUCUGAGAGGAUGAUCAGCCACACUGGGACUGAGACACGGCCCAGCAUCCUACGGGAGGAAGCAGUUAGGAAUAUUGGACAAUGGGCGAAAGCCUGAUCCAGCCAUGCCGCGUGUGUGAUGAAGGCCUUAGGGUUGUAAAGCACUUUCGUUGGGGAUGAUAAUGACCGUACCCAAAGAAGAAGCCACGGCUAAAUUCGUGCCAGCCGCCGCAGUAA